rnacentral:piRNA from 1 species
GCCAAAUGAAGAUGUAGAUGGCUGGUGACCU